AGAGGCUCAAGUUGACAGAUAUCGGCGUAAAGAGUGGUUAGGAGCUCGCCCAACUAAAGCCGAACACCCUCAGAACUGUUAUACGUACCCGAGGGUAAGAAGACCUACUACGAAAGUGGCUUUACAAUUCCGACCCCACGAAAGCUGUGAAACAAACUGGGAUUAGAUACCCCACUAUGCCCAGCCCUAAACCUUGAUAGCUUAUUACAUCUACUAUCCGCCCGGGUACUACGAGCACUA
rnacentral:rRNA from 1 species